rnacentral:rRNA from 1 species
GAUCAUGGCUCAGGAUGAACGCUAGCGGCAGGCUUAACACAUGCAAGUCGAGGGGAAGCAUAAUGGAUAGCAAUAUCUAUGGUGGCGACCGGCGCACGGGUGCGUAACGAGUAUGCAACCUACCUUUAACAGGGGGAUAACACUGAGAAAUUGGUACUAAUACCCCAUAAUAUCACAGAAGGCAUCUUUUAUGGUUGAAAAUUCCGAUGGUUAGAGAUGGGCAUGCGUUGUAUUAG